UCCCAAGUGCUGGGAUUAAAGGCCUGUGCUGCCAGCGCCCGGCUACAGAGCCAUUUUUAUGUGUGUAGUGUUUGCAUCGUUCUGCACAGAGAAAGUUAUUUGUUAGUGAUCUUGUUACUAGGGUGAAUCUUGUUAUAUUGCUGAUACUGACUUAUUUGGCUAUGGGUGUGUAAAUUUCAUCUUGUGUAACUUCAUUUUUCUGGGGUUCCUUCAGAUUACCGUUGGAAGGAGAAGCAAUCUGACAAACUUAGUCUUUUACUUUCUAGUUGUUGCCAGUCCUAAGACUCACAACAAAGCUGAAUUGUCCACAACUUUCAGGACUCUGUUCCUUGUUAGGAAGCUGCAGUUACAGUGAUGUCAUUCUUGUCCCGUGUAGAACCUUCCCUCAGAUCCUGGCUCCCAUUAUCUUCAGCACUUCCAUCUCCAAUGUCAGCGUUUCUAUUCAGCUUGGAGACACACCACCUUUUGCUUUGGGGUUCAAUUCCAUCUCCCUGGGUAAGGCUCAGGGAUGGGAAGGGAACAAGGAUUUGCUCUUUGGUUACAGCUAUGCCUGUUCCAUGGCGGCUUAAUAGUCUACUUUUUAACACCUGUUUCAGAUUACCAGCACCUCCGACCACAAAGUAUCCAUCAGCGGGCUGUCCUGACUGUGGAUCACCUCUGCUGGCGGGUGGGCAGUGAGUCCCACAUUCAGCGGGCACCACACCCACCUAAUAUGCAUGUCUGGGGAGAAGCACUUGUCCUGGACUCUUUCACACUGCAGGGUAGCUAUAACCAGCCCCUGGGUUUGUCCAGCACCCAAUCCAAUACUCUCUUUCUUGACUGUACUAUUCGAGGACUUCAGGAAGUCUUUGCUUGGGGAGUCUGUGACCUUACUGUGGAAGGUGGACUUGAAGGUGGAAGACAUGAACCUGUUCACUCUUUCUGCACUGGUUGGUAAGUGGAGCAGGAAGUGGGUAGUAUGCCAAUUUAGCAGCUUAUGCUGGUUCACUCAGCUGCUUCUCCUUUAAGGAAGCUGAUUAUCUGGAAAGUUUCCAUGUUAAGAGUCAUGAGACAUUAGAGGGCUUGAACAAUAGGCUUUGUGCUGCUGCUUAGUAGCUAUUGAAGGCGAGUAUUAAAAAAUACACAGAUGGGGGAAAAUUUAGCCUUGACGUGAUCAAGAGAAUGAGACCAACAUAGGGUUUCUUUUGUCU
rnacentral:lncRNA from 1 species